rnacentral:rRNA from 1 species
AAUCUUCCUCAAUGGACGUAAGUCUGACGGAGCAACGCCUCGUGAGUGCUGAAUGCUUUCGGUUCGUAAAACACUUCUGUUAGGGAAGUAUAAGCAUCGGCGUCACCACCCGUACCUUGACGGUACCUGAUGAGAAUACCACGGCUCACUACGUGUCAGCAUCCGCGCUAAUAAGUAGGUGGCAAGCGUUGGCCGGAUUUAUUGGGCGUAAAGCGCGCGCAGGCGGUUUUUUAAGUCUGAUGUGAAAUCUUACAGCUUGACUUUAAGCGGUCAUUGGAAACUGUGAGACUUGAGGGCAGAAGCGGAGAGUGGAAUUCCAUGUGUAGCGGUGAAAUGCGUAGAUAUAGGAAGGAACACCAGUGGCGAAGGCGACUACCUGGACUGAUACUGACACUGAGGUGCGAAAGCGUGGGGAGCAAACC